rnacentral:pre_miRNA from 1 species
UCACGAAGAGUUCUUAGUUCUCCAUGCUUCUCUAACGUUGCAUGGAGUCUAUGUCUGGACCUCCUCCAUUUGCUCUUUCAAGAGAAUGUGAGAAUUUCGAGAUUCGGACAUAGCCUUCAUGCAUGCUAGAGUAGAAUGGAAUCUCCUGAUCCUCUUGGAA